rnacentral:lncRNA from 1 species
GCAACUUGGUCGCCGUGUUCCGUGCGCGAGAUGUUUGAUAUUUCAUGCGUGCUCCUGGAUAUGGCCUUAACAUACGCUAUGUAAAGCGAAUAUCAAUUUUUGAACCGUCGAAUUCGGAGAUUCGAUACACCUGCAGUUCAAACCAGCGUUUAUCGUAGAAAUUCAAUUAAACCAAAUUAACUAAAGAUAUAUAAUAAAAAGAUUUUAAAAACUACCAAAACCUUAACAUAUACUAUUAAAUAAUGUGUAAUGCAAAACAAAAAAGUUUGGAAGCAAAAAGUAAAAAAUAAAAAAAUUCUUUGCCGAGCGCCAAAAGUCAGCGCUAGGCAAAGAGAGCCUUUGCCGAGCGCAAAAAUUCAGCGCUAGGCAAAGAAAUGCCUUUGCCGAGCGCC